ACCCAGUUUCAGCUCCGUUGUAACGCCAGGUCGUUUGCGGAGCGCACGCUGUGGCUCCAACGCCUGGACUGGGAAAACACACCCCAACUCCGGAGAAGGGCACGGAAACCAGAAGCCCCUCACCUCCCUCCAGCGCACAGUGGAGCGAGGAGGUGGCAGAGGCCGACCACACGGUUGUGUGGAUUUUGGAAAGAGCUCCAAGCGUGAAGAUGGGAGGGGCUCCUCUUUUAUUGGAUUUUAUUUUUUUAAGGCGCGUUCGCCGAGAGCCUUGCCAUUUUGCAUAGAAUCAAUUGGGCGACGCUUGGGUUUUGCAUGGAGUACAAUGGAGCUUUCUGGAUUCUAGAAGCGUUCCAUAAGGGCUAAGCCCGCCGCUCUCCAAAGCGGCGGAGAAGGCUCGCUCCUCCGGGGACCCAGCAGCCGCGCCGCACUGGAAGCGGUUCUCCUGGGCCGCUCAAGUCCCUGCGCGUCCCGGGAACGUGUGUAAUCGGCUUCUCGGCUCUCUCGGCUGCGGGCCACCCGCUCCCUCCGCCUCCAUCCUCCCGCCGCCCUCGCCCCCUCCCCCCUCUCCCCGGAACCCGCCUCCGCUCCGGGCUCCAGGGCUUCCUUCCCCCCCUCAUCUUCCCUGGCGCUGCCGCUCCCGGAGGGCGGGGCAUGCACUUAUCCAGGUUGCCGGGCGGGAGGAGCCGGGCCCGGGGCUCGGCAUAGAGCAGCGGCCUCCGGGCGGCGGAGGCGGAGGCCAGAG
rnacentral:lncRNA from 1 species